rnacentral:rRNA from 1 species
CCUACGGGAGGCAGCAGUGAGGAAUAUUGGUCAAUGGGCGGAAGCCUGAACCAGCCAAGUAGCGUGCAGGAUGACGGCCCUACGGGUUGUAAACUGCUUUUAUACGGGAAUAACGCGCCUUACGUGUAGGGCUUUGCAUGUACCGUAUGAAUAAGGACCGGCUAAUUCCGUGCCAGCAGCCGCGGUAAUACGGAAGGUCCGGGCGUUAUCCGGAUUUAUUGGGUUUAAAGGGAGCGUAGGCCGCAUGAUAAGUGUGCUGUGAAAUGCCCGGGCUCAACCCGGGCCUUGCAGCGCGUACUGGCGUACUUGAGACCGCAGAAAGCAGGCGGAAUGCGUAGUGUAGCGGUGAAAUGCUUAGAUAUGACGAAGAACCCCGAUUGCGAAGGCAGCUUGCUGCAGCGGAACUGACGCUGAUGCUCGAAAGCGUGGGUAUCGAACAGGAUUAGAUACCCUGGUAGUC